UAAGAAGCAUCAUAUAGAUAAACUCAAUGGAGCUGAGAUGAGGAUAUUGAGAUGGAUGAGUGGCAAAACUAGGAAGGAUAAAGUAGGGAAUGAUCAUAUUAGAGCUGAUUUGGGAAUAGCUCUAAUACAUGAUAACCUACGAGAAAGUCGUUUGAGGUGGCAUGGCCAUGUUCAACGGAGGAUUUUGGAUGCCCUAGUAUGGAGGAGUGAUUUGAUUCAGUUUAAAGGAACUAAAAAGCCCAGGGCAGACCCAAAAUGACCUUGGGAGAAGUGGUGAGGAAAGACAUGCAUAGCUUAGGCCUUGUAUCAAGUAUGACCUCGAAUAGAGCUUAUUGGAGGGCAAGGAUCC